rnacentral:rRNA from 1 species
UACAGAGGUCUCGAGCGUUAGGCGGAAUCACUGGGCUUAAAGCGUGUGUAGGCGGAUUGCUAAGUACCUUGUGAAAUCCCACGGCUUAACCGUGGAACUGCUUGGUAUACUGGCUGUCUUGAGCCACUUAGGGGCAACCGGAACAAACGGUGGAGCGGUGAAAUGCGUAGAUAUCGUUUGGAACGCCAAUGGUGAAAACAGGGUGCUGGGAGUGUGCUGACGCUGAGACACGAAAGCCAGGGGAGCAAACGGG